UUUUUCCCCCGCAGCUAAGCAUAUCAAUAAGCGGAGGAAAAGAAACUAACAAGGAUUCCCCUAGUAACUGCGAGUGAAGCGGGAAGAGCUCAAAUUUAAAAUCUGGCGGUCCUUUGGCCGUCCGAGUUGUAUUCUGGAGAAGUGCUUUCCGCGCUGGACCGUGUAUAAGUCUCUUGGAACAGAGCGUCAUAGAGGGUGAGAAUCCCGUCUUUGACACGGACUACCAGUGCUUUGUGAUGCGCUCUCAAAGAGUCGAGUUGUUUGGGAAUGCAGCUCAAAAUGGGUGGUAAAUUCCAUCUAAAGCUAAAUAUUGGCGAGAGACCGAUAGCGAACAAGUACCGUGAGGGAAAGAUGAAAAGCACUUUGGAAAGAGAGUUAAACAGUACGUGAAAUUGUUGAAAGGGAAACGCUUGAAGUCAGUCGCGUUAGCCGGAACUCAGCCUUGCCUUCCGCUCGGUGUAUUUUCCGGUUGACGGGCCAGCAUCGAUUUCGACCGCUGGAUAAGGGCUAGGGGAAUGUGGCACCCUCGGGUGUGUUAUAGCCUCCGGUCGUAUACAGUGGUUGGGAUCGAGGACCGCAGCUUUCGGGCUUAGGAUGCUGGCGUAAUGGCUUUAAACGACCCGUCUUGAAACACGGACCAAGGAGUCUAACAUGCCUGCGAGUGUUUGGGUGGAAAACCCGAGCGCGUAAUGAAAGUGAUAGUUGAGACCUUUGUCAUGGAGGGCAUCGACGCCCGGACCUGAUCUUCGGUGACGGAUCUGCGGUAGAGCAUGUAUGUUGGGACCCGAAAGAUGGUGAACUAUGCCUGAAUAGGGUGAAGCCAGAGGAAACUCUGGUGGAGGCUCGUAGCGAUUCUGACGUGCAAAUCGAUCGUCAAAUUUGGGUAUAGGGGCGAAAGACUAAUCGAACCAUCUAGUAGCUGGUUCCUGCCGAGUCUCCCUCCCCGGGGUUUAUACGAAAUAACC
rnacentral:rRNA from 1 species